UUGCUUACUUUAGCGGCCGCGGAAGCUC
rnacentral:sRNA from 1 species